rnacentral:rRNA from 1 species
UUCUGGGAGGGUUGACAGGUCCAGAGCUCUUUCUUGAUUCUGUGGAUUUCGGUGCAUGUCCGUUCUUAGUUGUUGAAAUGGUUUGUCUGGUUAAUUCCGAUAACAAACGAGACUCUAGUCAAUCAAAUACGUGCGUGGUCCUCUACACCUUGCUCCCUUCUUAGAAGGAGAAGCCGCUCCGAUAUUUCGUCUCUCCUUAUUAUAUAUAUAUGGACUACUGUUAGCCGCGCGUGCUCAAAGCGCGAGCUGGCCGCUUUGAAUGAAGUCACGGCGGCUACACGAGCGCUCGUGCAGCGAGUGCUCUAGUCAAGGCAGUCAAGGCUGGCCGCUCGCGCUAACACAGCCUUCGCGGUUAGUUCAUGCUAGGGUGAGACGAAGUAUAGCUAUAGCCGCACGAAACAGAGCAAUAAAAGGUCCGUGAUUCCCUUAGAU